rnacentral:rRNA from 1 species
ACAAGCAGCGGAGCGUGUGGUUAAUUCGAUGCAACGCGAAGAACUUACCAGGGUUUGACAUGCUUAAAGUAGGAACUCGAAAGAGGGACGACCUGUAUCCAGUCAGGAAUUUGCACAGGUGCUGCAUGGCUGUCGUCAGCUCGUGCCGUGAGGUGUUAGGUUAAGUCCUGCAACGAGCGCAACCCUCGUCGUUAGUUGUUUUUCUCUAACGAUACUGCCCGUAAAACGUGGAGGAAGGUGGGGAUGACGUCAAGUCAGCAUGGCCCUUACAUCCUGGGCUACACACACGCUACAAUGGGUGAUACAAUAGGUUGCAAUAGAGCGACCUGGAGCCAAUCCCAAAAAUCAUCCUCAGUACGGAUUGCAGGCUGCAACUGCCUGCAUGAAGUUGGAGUUGCUAGUAAACGCAGGUCAGCACACUGCGUUGAAUACGUUCUCGGGCCUU